rnacentral:rRNA from 1 species
CGCGGCCUAUCAGCUUGUUGGCGGGGUAACGGCCCACCAAGGCAACGACGGGUAGCUGGUUUGAGAGAACGAUCAGCCACACUGGAACUGAGACACGGUCCAGACUUCUACGGAAAGCAGCAGUAGGGAAUCUUGCGCAAUGGGGGAAACCCUGACGCAGCGACGCCGCGUGCGGGAUGACGGCCCUAGUGGUUGUAAACCGCUUUCAGCAGGGACGAAAAUGACGGUACCUGCAGAAGAAGUCCCGGCUAACUACGUGCCAGCAGCCGCGGUAAUACGUAGGGGACAAGCGUUGUCCGGAUUCAUUGGGCGUAAAGAGCUCGUAGGCGGUUCAGUAAGUUGGGUGUGAAAGCUCCGGGCUCAACCCGGAGAGGCCACUCGAUACUGCUGUGACUAGAGUCCAGUAGAGGAGCGUGGAACUCCUGGUGUAGCGGUGAAAUGCGCAGAUAUCAGGAAGAACACCGGCAGCGAAGGCGGCGCUCUGGGCUGGAACUGACGCUGAGGAGCGAAAGCAUGGGUAGCAAACAGGAUUAGAUACCCUGGUAGUCCAUGCCGUAAACGUUGGGCACUAGGUGUGGGAGGGAAUCAACCCCUUCCGUGCCGUAGCUAACGCAUUAAGUGCCCCGCCUGGGGAGUACGG